CGGACGGGUGAGUAAUGCUUGGGAAUCUGGCUUAUGGAGGGGGAUAACUACGGGAAACUGUAGCUAAUACCGCGUAAUAUCUUCGGAUUAAAGGGUGGGACUUUCGGGCCACCUGCCAUAAGAUGAGCCCAAGUGGGAUUAGGUAGUUGGUGGGGUAAAGGCCUACCAAGCCGACGAUCUCUAGCUGGUCUGAGAGGAUGACCAGCCACACUGGAACUGAGACACGGUCCAGACUCCUACGGGAGGCAGCAGUGGGGAAUAUUGCACAAUGGGGGGAACCCUGAUGCAGCCAUGCCGCGUGAAUGAAGAAGGCCUUCGGGUUGUAAAGUUCUUUCGGUGAUGAGGAAGGUGUUUGUUUUAAUAGAACAAGCAAUUGACGUUAGUCACAGAAGAAGCACCGGCUAACUCCGUGCCAGCAGCCGCGGUAAUACGGAGGGUGCGAGCGUUAAUCGGAAUGACUGGGCGUAAAGGGCACGCAGGCGGUGACUUAAGUGAGAUGUGAAAGCCCCGGGCUUAACCUGGGAAUUGCAUUUCAUACUGGGUCGCUAGAGUAUUUUAGGGAGGGGUAGAAUUCCACGUGUAGCGGUGAAAUGCGUAGAGAUGUGGAGGAAUACCGAAGGCGAAGGCAGCCCCUUGGGAAUAUACUGACGCUCAUGUGCGAAAGCGUGGGGAGCAAACAGGAUUAGAUACCCUGGUAGUCCACGCUGUAAACGCUG
rnacentral:rRNA from 1 species